rnacentral:ncRNA from 1 species
AAACUGAAGAGUUUGAUCAUGGCUCAGAUUGAACGCUGGCGGCAGGCUUAACACAUGCAAGUCGAGCGG